rnacentral:rRNA from 1 species
CCUACGGGAGGCAGCCGUGAGGAAUAUUGGUCAAUGGGCGAGAGCCUGAACCAGCCAAGUCGCGUGAGGGAGUACUGCCCUAUGGGUUGUAAACCUCUUUUGUCGGGGAGCAAAAGCCGGACGUGUCCGGCUGUGAGAGUACCCGAAGAAAAAGCAUCGGCUAACUCCGUUCCAGCAGCCGCGGUAAUACGGAGGAUGCGAGCGUUAGCCGGAUUUAUUGGGUUUAAAGGGUGCGCAGGCGGAUUUUUACGUCAGCGGUAAAAUCGUGGGGCUCAACCCCAUCCAGCCGUUGAAACUGGGGAUCUAGAGUGUGCGAGAGGUAUGCGGAAUGCGUGGUGUAGCGGUGAAAUGCAUAGAUAUCACGCAGAACCCCGAUUGCGAAGGCAGCAUACCGGUGCACAACUGACGCUCAGGCACGAAAGCGUGGGUAUCGAACAGGAUUAGAUACCCGUGUAGUC